GGUGAGUAGCACGUAGAUAACCUACCUAUAAGACUGGGAUAACUUCGGGAAACCGGAGCUAAUACCGGAUAAUAUAUUGAACCGCAUGGUUCAAUAGUGAAAGACGGUUUUGCUGUCACUUAUAGAUGGAUCCGCGCCGCAUUAGCUAGUUGGUAAGGUAACGGCUUACCAAGGCAACGAUGCGUAGCCGACCUGAGAGGGUGAUCGGCCACACUGGAACUGAGACACGGUCCAG
rnacentral:rRNA from 1 species